rnacentral:lncRNA from 1 species
UAGGAAAAUAAUGGGACUGCACUGCAUCCACCCGAAGAAGCCAUUGUCGGAAAGACACACCUUAAUUAAAAUGUGAAAAAAUAUAGGGCAUCUUAGAAUCUACUGCAGACGUUACUCAGAUUAUCUCACCUAAUACCGAUCACCGUGGGAGGUGGAUAGAUGGGUGUUCCCAUGUUCCCUAUUUAUUGAUUGAUUGAUUGAUUGAUUUUAGAGCUGAGAAAGCUGAGCCACAGAAAAGUUCAUUUACCUGCUUAAUGGUGCACACCUAUGAGAGAGAGAAGAGCAUUUCCUAAUCUCCCAGAGCUGACCAGAUACUGCCUGACCCGCUUUGGUGUGACUGCAAGGUGGCAGGGCUCCUGUCUGUGGAACAUAAACGUCGCACAGACCACUCUCUAACUGUGUUUAAAUGUAGCCAUAUAUGAACAUUGCACAGACCACCAAAGUGAUCAAAUGAUCCAACAUGCUCCUGUCCUGGCUACUAUGAGUGAUUCCUAUUUCUUUACUAAUUAUACCUUUAGCUUCUAUCUAGUCUUGCUCCAACUAGGUAAAAUUUGUUAAAAUGUCUAAUCUUAGAAUUACCCCCACUUCCUGUCAACACCCAAUCCAGAGGGAAACCCUCUUUUCUUAAACACCGCCCCCUAAUCAUAUAGCCUGAACUCAAAUUCGGAUAGCCUCUUACCCAGAUGCCCCUCAUUUCCUGGUGAUGCGCCUUCUUCCAGCAAGUAAUCAACCUCACUUGUUCCACUGUGGCUGUACUCCUGCUGGUUUUAGCUGGAGGACCUUGACAGUGAGUUAAAGGUCAUGAUUGGGACCCAGGAAGUCAAUGACUCCAGCCCCUCCCUGUGAGCCCCUCACCCCCUCCACUGUAUUAUUCUGGCACCUGAACUGAAGGAUUGCUCUAGAACUAGGCUGUACAUUAUUCACAUAACUACUGAGCAUUUGAAAUGUGACGAAUCCCAAAUGAGUUGUGCUAUAAAGUGCAAAAUUCAUACCUGAUUAAAAAAAAUAUUUUUGGUUAUAGGUGUACACAAUGG